rnacentral:rRNA from 1 species
UACGUAGGGUGCGAGCGUUGUCCGGAAUUAUUGGGCGUAAAGAGCUUGUAGGCGGUUUGUCGCGUCUGCCGUGAAAAUCCGGGGCUCAACCCCGGACUUGCGGUGGGUACGGGCAGACUAGAGGUAUGCAGGGGAGAACGGAAUUCCUGGUGUAGCGGUGAAAUGCGCAGAUAUCAGGAGGAACACCGGUGGCGAAGGCGGUUCUCUGGGACGGUACUGACGCUGAGACGCGAAAGCGUGGGGAGCGAACAGG